rnacentral:rRNA from 1 species
UGGGGAANCUUCCGCAAUGGGCGAAAGCCUGACGGAGCAAUACCGCGUGAGGGAGGAAUGCCUUUGGGUUGUAAACCUCUUUUCUCAGGGAAGAAGAUCUGACGGUACCUGAGGAAUAAGUAUCGGCUAACUCCGUGCCAGCAGCCGCGGUAAUACGGAGGAUGCAAGCGUUAUCCGGAAUCAUUGGGCGUAAAGCGUCCGCAGGUGGUUUCCAAAGUCUGCUGUUAAAGACUGGAGCUCAACUCCGGAACGGCGGUGGAAACUUGGAAACUAGAGUUCGGUAGGGGUAGCAGGAAUUCCCAGUGUAGCGGUGAAAUGCGUAGAUAUUGGGAAGAACAUCGGUGGCGAAGGCGUGCUACUGGACCGUAACUGACACUCAGGGACGAAAGCUAGGGGAGCGAAAGGGAUUAGAUACCCCUGUAGUCCUAGCUGUAAACGAUGGAAACUAGGUGUGGCUUGA